AAUUCUCAACUAUACCAGUUUUUCUGGUGUAGCUUUGGAUGUGGGGGUGUUAUUUUUGCAGGCUUUAGAAAUGAUGUCUGCUCCCCUAAAAUGUAUUAGUAGUAUCUGAGCAGAAACUACUUUAGGUGUGAUAACUAUCUAUACCUCUGUACCACUGCAUAAACAGAUUACACUGCUUCUAACAGUUCUUAUGACAU
rnacentral:misc_RNA from 1 species